rnacentral:rRNA from 2 species
GUAGUGCAAGCCGAACUAAGGCGAAACCGCGAAAGGCUCAUUACAUCAGUUGUGGUUCCUUGGACUGUACCCAGUUACUUGGAUAACUGCGGAAAAUCUGGAGCUAAUACAUGCCGACAGAGUCCCGACCAGAGAUGGGAGGGACGCUUUUAUUAGAUCAAAACCAAAUAUUCCCUCCGGGGAAAACGGUUUAAGGUGACUCUGAAUAACUUUGUGCUGAUCGCACGGCCUUCGCGCCGGCGACGCGUCUUUCAAAUGUCUGCCUUAUCAACUUUCGAUGGUAGGCUCUGCGCCUACCAUGGUUGUAACGGGUGACGGGGAAUCAGGGUUCGAUUCCGGAGAGGGAGCCUGAGAAACGGCUACCACAUCCAAGGAAGGCAGCAGGCGCGCAAAUUACCCACUCCCGGCUCGGGGAGGUAGUGACGAAAGAUAACGAUGCAGGACUCUUAUGAGGCCCUGUAAUCGGAAUGACUACAAUUUAAAUCUCUUAAGGAGUAUCAAUUGGAGGGCAAGUCUGGUGCCAGCAGCCGCGGUAAUUCCAGCUCCAAUAGCGUAUAUUAAAGCUGUUGCGGUUAAAAAGCUCGUAGUUGGAUCUGUGCCCUGCACCGCCGGUCCCCGCUCUGCGGUGCGACUGGCAGGUCUGUGGGGCGUCCUGCCGGUGGGAGGUCUUGCCGGCGGCGUUCUCCCCCGCGCACCGGCAGUCGCUCGACGCCCGUUCGGUUCCAUCUGGUUCUCGUUCGGUGUCGCCGGGCCUGCCAACGCGUGGUGGCGAGACGCCGAUGCGUGCGCUCCCGGUUAUCCGAUCCUGCCGAAGGUGCUCUUUACCGAGUGUCGAGGCGGGCCGGCAUUUUUACUUUGAACAAAUUAGAGUGCUUAAAGCAGGCUGGUGUGGCCUGAAUGCUGUGUGCAUGGAAUAAUGGAAUAGGACCUCGGUUCUAUUUUCUUUUGGUUUUCUGAACCAGAGGUAAUGAUUAACGGAGACAGGCGGGGGCAUUCGUAUUGCGACGUUAGAGGUGAAAUUCUUGGAUCGUCGCAAGACGAACAGAAGCGAAAGCAUUUGCCAAGGAUGUUCUCGUUGAUCAAGAACGAAAGUCAGAGGUUCGAAGGCGAUCAGAUACCGCCCUAAUUCUGACCGUAAACGCUGCCAUCUGGUUAUUCGCCCACGCUAAAACCAAUAUGGCUGGGCGAGCAACCCUCGGGAAACCAAAGAUUUUGGGUUCCGGGGGAAGUAUGGUUGCAAAGCUGAAACUUAAAGGAAUUGACGGAAGGGCACCACCAGGAGUGGAGCCUGCGGCUUAAUUUGACUCAACACGGGAAACCUCACCAGGCCCGGACACUGGAAGGAUUGACAGAUUGAUAGCUCUUUCUUGAUUCAGUGGGUGGUGGUGCAUGGCCGUUCUUAGUUGGUGGAGCGAUUUGUCUGGUUAAUUCCGAUAACGAACGAGACUCUAGCCUGCUAACUAGUCGAUGAUUUCAAUCCGGCAUCCUCUUACGGCUGCCGGCGAAAACAACUCUUCUUAGAGGGACAGGCGGCUUCCAGCCGCACGAGAUUGAGCAAUAACAGGUCUGUGAUGCCCUUAGAUGUUCUGGGCCGCACGCGCGCUACAAUGAAGGUAUCAACGUGUGCCCCUUGGCCGAGAGGCCCGGGUAACCCGCUGAACCACCUUCGUGCUUGGGACUGGGGCUUGAAAUUGUUCCCCACGAACGAGGAAUUCCCAGUAAAGGCGUGUCACUAGCACGCCUUGAUUACGUCCCUGCCCUUUGUACACACCGCCCGUCGCUACUACCGAUUGAAUGAAUUAGUGAGGUCUUCGGACCAGCGCGCGGUUCUCGUCCCUCGGGACCCCCGUCGCUGCAGGGAAGAUGAUCGAACUUGUUCAUUUAGAGGAAGUAAAAGUCGUAACAAGGUUUCCGUAGGUGAACCU